CAGACAAUAUGCAAGCUUUCCAAUGCGCUUGUUUACAAAAAUGGCAAUGUAAGAAACGUUUUUAUGCUGGCUACAGAGAUCGAACUAAGCACCACUCUUUACGGUAAGCUGUCGACGCAAUAAUGUGAUCGCAAAUAUCUAUUGAAACGAUAGUCAAAAUAAUACACUACUUUUGUCUUCUACGUUUGUGGAUCCCAGCCAUGGAGUUAACAAGUUAAAGUACUAACUCUAUGGUACCAGCAUAGAGAUGGCACAGUCAAACUACUGAAUACCGCCCAGAACUUUUCUUUCAAAAAGUAAAUUUCAUACAGCUGUGGAGAAAACAGGGAGGUGUGUUAGAUAUAUUAUGGGUGGUAAAUGGAGUGGAGCAAAAAGUAACGUGAAAACUUACUAUGGACGAGCAAUGCUAAAAAGAAUAAAACGAUACCAACUCAAACAAUCCUUUAGAACCCUACGUGGACAAGUAGUUCAGUUCAAAUACCUGUAAACGGUAACAUGCCUAUUAUCGGUAAAUUGUUCCAUGUCAUAUUUAAUAAGGGAGUCACUUUUCGGUAAUUUUUUUCAAACUUCAAGAAAUGUGUAUCAUCAUAAUGAGGAAUAACAGAGAUCGAAUUCAAAACUUAAAUUCUUAUACAAGUAGAUACGGUUUAUUACUAAUACCUCGUUAUAUUUUUAUUUCUAAUAGUGUAUUAGGGAUAAAUAAAUGGAUGUAACUUAAACUUAAACUGUCUCAAUGUAAAGGCGGAUUAAUUAAUAUAAGGAGAGCAUUUCGAUUACGUAUAAUAUGAUGAAUCUCUACUUAGUCCUCUCUGUUUAUUUAUACUGUAGUUGUUCUCGACCCAAUUAAAAACAAUGUUAAAACUAUGUAUUUAGAUGGUAUGCAUGAAGUAAUUUGAUAUCACACACUUAAUACAAAGAAUAUAAUUUAUUUGUAUAAGAUUCAAAAAAAUGAAGUCAAUAAAUAGCUUAUAUUCCACAA